rnacentral:rRNA from 1 species
UACGUAGGUGGCGAGCGUUGUCCGGAUUCAUUGGCGUAAAGCGCGCGCAGGUGGUGCGGUAAGUCGUGUCGUGAAAUCUCCCGGCUCAACUGGGAGGGUGCGGUGGAGACUGCCGGACUGGAGGCACUCAGAGGCCGGUGGAAUUGCCCGGUGUAGUGGUGAAAUGCGUAGAGAUCGGGAGGAACACCAGUGGCGAAGGCGGCCGGCUGGGGUGACCUGACGCUGAGGCGCGAAAGCGUGGGAGCAAACAGG